GAUGAAGAACGCAGCGAAAUGCGAUAAGUAGUGUGAAUUGCAGAAUUCAGUGAAUCAUCGAAUCUUUGAACGCACAUUGCGCCCCUUGGUAUCCCGAGGGGCAUGCCUGUUCGAGCGUCAUUUCACCACUCAAGCCUGGCUUGGUGUUGGGCGACGUCCUCUUUGGGGACGCGCCUCGAAACGCUCGGGGGCGUGGCACCGGCUUUAAGCGUAGCAGAAUCUUUCGCUUUGGAAGUCGGGGCCCCGUCUGCCGGAAGACCUGCUCGCAAGGUUGACCUCGGAUCAGGCAGGGAUACCCGCUGAACUUAAGCAUAUCAAUAAGCGGAGGA
rnacentral:misc_RNA from 1 species